rnacentral:misc_RNA from 1 species
AGAAGGUUGUGAUGAUGCUAAGCAAGAGCUUGAGGAGGUCGUUGAGUACCUAAAAAAUCCUUCCAAGUUCACUCGGCUUGGAGGAAAGUUGCCGAAGGGAAUUCUCUUGACUGGAGCACCUGGAACAGGAAAAACUCUCCUUGCCAAGGCUAUCGCUGGGGAAGCAGGGGUGCCUUUCUUUUAUAAGGCAGGCUCCGAAUUUGAAGAAAUGUUUGUAGGA